CGAAGACUGACCGUUCGAACAUUAUGUCCGACUUGUUUAGUGAAGACGGCAUUGUUACAGCACAUGACGAAGUUGAUUUCAAUUGUAAAUCUGAAAAUCUGUGUACCAAAUAUCCGGUCUUCGCAGACUACUACAACAAAAGAUUAAAAAAUAGGAUUCUUUAUCAUGUUAACAGACCAUUAAAAAGGCAAUCAAACCCCGAUCGAUUGUGGACCAACAACAAUUGUGAAAGCAUGAAUCACAGAUUCAAAAUUGCUACAGACUGGAAACCUCAGAUUCUCCCAGAACUUCUUACUAAAAUUUAUGACAUCACCAAAUUGCAUUUCAUCGACCUAAAGCGAUCACUAUAUGGCCAAGGGAACUACGAACUUUCGCCCUUAUUUCAAAAACACUAUACUUCUCCGCAUAUCUGGGGAAGCAAGACCGCUGAGGAAAAAGACAAACUAUUCAAGAAAUUGUUAUCAAGUAAGACCUUCACAAAUAAAAUGCUUACCUCAACAAAUGGAAAGCUCACCAUUCCAAAUGUAAAACGUCUGGCACGUAAACCAGGUCAACGACAUAGACCAAAAAGUGCAGCUGCAAAAACAAUGCCACGCUUCAUAAAGUGAUUUUAAUUGACUCAAUGUUUGUAUUAUCAGUGCUGUUUUAUGUAAUAUUUUGCUAUAAUAUCAGUUGUAAAAAUGUGUUGUUUAAAAUGUUCCUUUAUUUUAAUAAAUAUUUUUUCGCGGACUGCGUAAGGUACGCCCGUGCCUUGUGCAGGGUACCUUCGUAGUUUUAAAUUUUCUUUUCAUAUAAAUAUUUUUUCGCGGACUUCGUAAGGUACGCCCGUGCCUUGUAGUUUUAAAUUUUCUUUUCAUAUAAAUAUUUUUUCGCGGACUUCGUAAGGUACGCCCGUGCCUUGUGCAGGGUACCUUCGUAGUUUUAAG
rnacentral:lncRNA from 1 species